GUACGCGUGCCGCGUGUCGGGUUCGAAUCUUUUCCAUAUUUUUCGCGGUCACUGUUUAAAAGAAUCCCGUGCAUGAAGAAUUAGCCCGAGUGCAUCUCGCCAAGUAUCAAAUAUCCUUCGAGGUUAGCCUGUUAAUCUCGUGCCACCGCUAUUGUCCGCUAACGUACGUCGUACGUCAUAAUCUCGACGUCGACGAUGCUCUUCCGCCUGUCCGGAGUCCGGAAUCAAAGUUCUUCUCGCGUACGUCAUUAUUUUCGCAGUGCAACGGGAAUUCAGUCGGAAGUGCACUCGGAUCAUCGCCAAGAGAUCUCACACGCUUACCGAAGGGAUGGAGUUUGAAGAUUCCAAUAUGGCGAUGACUUUUGUUCAACAUAAUUCGCAACGUAGUGUACCUACUCUGCUGCUGCUGCCGCAUCGUAUCG